AGUCUCCAUCUCAUUUAACACUCACGUCCGCCCUCAGAGGGGUCUGUCUUUCCCAUCCUUCCAGGGAGUAAACUGAGAUGCACAUGGAGCAUGUUCUGUUUACAUAGGCUCUCAAGACUGGCCCAUACCAUUGGCUGAGAUUCUUCCAGGUGGUUUUAUACCUUGGGUGAGUCAUUUAACUUCCCUAGUCUGGUUGACCAU
rnacentral:lncRNA from 10 species